rnacentral:rRNA from 1 species
UUUCAAACUUAAUUGAGAGUUUGAUCCUGGCUCAGGAUGAACGCUGGCGGCGUGCCUAACACAUGCAAGUCGAACGCUCCGCAAGGGGCGUGGCGAACGGGUGAGUAACACGUAAGCAACCUACCCUCAAGACUGGAACAACUAGUCGAAAGAUUAGCUAAUUCCAGAUGUGAUUACAGGAAGACAUCUUUCUGUAAUUAAAUCCAGCAAUGGGCUUGAGGAUGGGCUUGCGGCCUAUCAGCUUGUUGGUGAGGUAAUGGCUCACCAAGGCAAUGACGGGUAGCAGGUCUGAGAGGACGACCUGUCACAAGGGAACUGAGACACGGUCCCUACUCCUACGGGAGGCAGCAGUGAGGAAUUUUCCGCAAUGGGCGAAAGCCUGACGGAGCGACGCCGUGUGUGGGAUGACGUCCUUCGGGAUGUAAACCACUGUCAGAGGGGACGAUAUUGACGGUACCCUCAGAGGAAGCCCCGGCUAACUACGUGCCAGCAGCCGCGGUAAUACGUAGGGGGCGAGCGUUGUCCGGAAUCAUUGGGCGUAAAGGGCGUGUAGGCGGUCUUGCAAGUCAGAUGUUAAAUCUACGGGCUCAACUCGUAGCCGCAUCUGAUACUACAAGACUGGAGAGUGGUAUAGGAAAGCGGAACUUCCGGUGUAGCGGUGAAAUGCGUAGAUAUCGGAAGGAACACCAGUGGCGAAAGCGGCUUUCUGGGCCAUUUCUGACGCUGAGACGCGAAAGCUAGGGGAGCAAACGGGAUUAGAUACCCCGGUAGUCCUAGCCCUAAACGAUGUUCACUAGGUGUUAAAGGUAUCGACCCCUUUAGUGCCGCAGUUAACGCGUUAAGUGAACCGCCUGGGGAUUACGACCGCAAGGUUAAAACUCAAAAGAAUUGACGGGGGCCCGCACAAGCGGUGGAGCAUGUGGUUCAAUUCGAUGCUACGCGAAUAACCUUACCUGGGUUUGACAUGCUGGUAGUAAGACCCCGAAAGGGUGAUGAUCCAGGUUUCCUGGAAGCCAGCACAGGUGCUGCAUGGCUGUCGUCAGUUCGUGUCGUGAGAUGUUGGGUUAAGUCCCACAACGAACGCAACCCCUAUUGCUAGUUGACAGCGUUAAGUCGGUCACUCUAGCGAAACUGCCCCGGAUGACGGGGAGGAAGGUGGGGAUGAGGUCAAGUCAUCAUGGCCCUUAUGCCCAGGGCGACACACGUGCUACAAUGCCGCAUACAAAGGGAUGCAAAUCCGCAAGGAAGAGCAAAUCUCAAAAAGUGCGGCUCAGUUCGGACUGAGGGCUGCAAUUUGCCCUCAUGAAGCUGGAAUCGCUAGUAACCGCAGAUCAGCGUGCUGCGGUGAAUACGUUCUCGGGCCUUGUACACACCGCCCGUCACACCAUGGAAGUCAGGAACACCCGAAGCCCCGAAGAGGGGUUAAGGUGGUAUUGAUGACUGGGGUGAAGUCGUAACAAGGUAGCCGUACCGGAAGGUGUGGCUGGAUCACCUCCUUUCUAAGGAGUAA